GAUUACUAUUCCAGGGAGGUAAUUUGAUAUCUCCUAUCCAGAUGAGUAAAAAGCAUCCGAGGGCUUCAGCCCGAGGUGCUUUCACUCAUCGCGAUACGAUACAUCAAAUUAUUUCUCGUGUGUAGUAUGCUAUUUUACUUUACGAGCGAGUUAAAUAUUUUUGCCUGUUAGGUAUAA